rnacentral:antisense_RNA from 1 species
CUUGACCGAGCCGAGCAGCAACGGACGGUCCUCGGGGCGGUCCUGGCCGUAGGUGGCGAGGAGCGCCUGGGCCUC